AAAUAAUAGCGGGUAACUUUUAUUUCCCUCCAUCUUUUCACCAAUCUUUUUCGCCCUAGAAACUUACGCCUCACAACAACAAAAUACGACAGUCGCUUGAUUGGAAGAGACAAUAUCCAAAUCUCUUUUCUUCUAACUUCCGCCUCACAACAACAAAACUUCCGCCUCACAACAACAAUCGCCACCGCUUUUACACCUCCCAUAUUUGAUUUUCUCUCUCUUUCCUUAUUUUUACUCAUGGGAUUUCUGUUAAUUUUGAAUUUUUGUGUGUAUUUUGGUCUAUCUGUAUGAAUUUUUGUGUGCUUUUUCCUUGCUUUCUUUGUGCUUUUGGGUUUAAUGGUCAAUAUCUCUGCAGGAAAUUUUGUGUACUUUUGGUUCUUCGUGCUUUUGGGUUUACUAUUCUAAAUGAAAACAACCAAGAUUUACUGAAUUUGCAAUUAGGAAGGUGGAAUUUGGGGUCAAAAUCAAAAUUUCGAGUUCAGUUUUGUCAUUCUAAAUUAAACCCAAUACGUAUCUAAUGUGUAAGAAAUUAGCAACAAACAAACAGAGCUGACAUUUCACAAGCAAUUGAGCAAAGGACAAAAAAGAAGCGAAAAUCAAGAAUUCUGAGAAAUUUACAGUUUAGGUAGCUGAAAAACAAAAUUUGACAAACCUGAUUGUUAAGAAUCUUGGACUUUGUUUGGAAUUCCAAAAUUUUCACUUGUUGUUUCUCUUCUUAUCUGUUGCCUCUCACUUCUCUUGGUUUCUCCUCCCCUUUUGCUUUGUUGGACAUGUUAAACACCUAACAGAGAUAUACUACAGUAUCAUAAUUAAAUUUACUGAUCACUUGAAAAUGCAUAUCAGCAGAAAUAAUAUACUUUUUCUCUUAUGUGUGUCUAAUUAAAGAUUUUACUACUAGUAAUUUAUUUAAGCUGAGACUUGGGAAUCUGAUCUCUACGCCUUUUCAAGCAGAAGAUUGAUAAGUCACUCGAAAACUGAUGAUCACAAAUUAUAUUACAGUAUGUUAAAAAACUGAAAGUAAGUACAUACAUACAUGCAAGACCAGUGGACCACUGUCUCUAUUCUCCCAUACUGAUAUUACCAAUAAAAGUAAGUUGUGAAAAAGGGGGGGCCGUGCAAUGGAGUUUUAAUGUCAUUAGAUUUAGAUAUCAGUCAAAUACCUAUUUUAGAUCAAGGACUUUUUGCCUACUAAUUUCUCCAAAUUAGAUGCUUUGCGACAAAUAUUUUAGAGUAAACUGUUCCCUUUUUGAUAACUUACGGUGAAUAUAUUUUCUAUCAUGAUGCUUAUAGUUUGUUGACUUACUUGUCUUUGAAUCUACUUAUUAUUGUUGGGAGAUAUGACUAUGACUAUGCAAACACAUUCUUUCUUAUGGGAUUUUCAAGUUUGGUAGUGUUUAUGAUUAUAGAUGGUGUUUGUUGUAUGUAUUUAUUGCUUCAUAGUUAAUAUUCUCUAUUCUAAUAAUAGAGAAUAGAGAACUGAUAUUUUUCUCUUUAUAUUCUGAAAGGUUCAUUAGCUGUACUUGAAAGGUUCAUCAGCUGCACUUGAAAGAUAAAUUAACCAAAAUAUAUUUUUGAAGCCUCAUUUUUGUUUCAUGACCAUUGAGGAAGUUGCAUGAGAAUAUGUUUAUCGCUCUAUUGCAGCAAAGAGUGGGCUGCAAGUAGGCAGAAGUUGUGGUAUGAGUUUAAAGACCCACUUAAAACCAAAGUAUUACUCGGGAUCAAUGGACUUCCUUUGUGAACUACCGUUAUAAAGAAGAAAUUCAGGAAAAAAUUGAGCUAGCAGUGAGUAAAAGUACAGUGGAUGAGUCUGAAAUUUCUUCAAAUGAUGCUGUUGGUAAGGUGCUAGGCAAAGAGCAUCCUGGAAGGGUGAGAUAUUUGGAAUUAGGAGCUACUCCAAGCAAUACUUUCAGAGAGACAAAUCUUCGUCUUGGUAAUAUUAGAAUUGUGAGUAAUAAUAUUGGAUGCUCUUCUUCUGGAUGCCAAGAGAAGUACAAUCAAUUGAUGAAUACUCUCAAAGCAUACAUGAUAAUGAAGGAAGGGUCAAUACCAGAACAAUUUGCUGGGAUCUUUGCUUCUCCUACAACGCCAAGUGAUGCAGGUAGUGGACCCGUUUCACCGACGGAUGCAAGAAGAUCUUAUGGCGCUAGUAAUCCCAGUGACAACCAUUGAGAUUCAUUUUAAUUGAAGUGGAUGUAUUAGGCCAAUGUAAUAGCUGAUUAAUAUAGAUGGUUAACUAUGUUCUAGUUUAGCUUGAUGACAUAUGAUACUACUCUGCCAUAGUAUUUUUCACGGUUAAUGAAAUGUUGAUGUUUUUUAAUUUUAA